rnacentral:tRNA from 1 species
ACUUUAUUAGUAUAACUAGUAUGGUUGUUUUCCAAACAAUUGGUUUAAGGAAUUAAAUAAAGUA